rnacentral:piRNA from 1 species
UGUGUGACCCCAUUUUUUGAGCCUCACAGU